CAGAAUUGUAUGUAAUUUUUACUGCAAGUAUUAAAACAAGGGAACAUUCAUAUGCAUAUGUAGAUGAAUCUUUAGAGAUGUUUCACAAAAAUUGAUAACCGAAAUAUUUAUACAAUAUUACCUUUUUUGUGUUGUAGUUUUUCAAUCAAGAGAUAAUGGUCUUGCAAAAGUGCUGAGAUGUGAUGUCUGAGAUGCUGUGCAGGUGGAGAAAAGUGGUAUAAUUGCUUUACUCAGCAUGAAACCUUCCAACAUUAUGCCUGGAGGAUAUGAUUUUGAACCAAAUUGGGGACGUAACAAUCAGGAGGAGGUAAAUAGAAGGGGAAAGUCUGUAUCUUAUGUUGACUUUCAUUUAAUCACUGUUUACAGCACAAAACUGUCACACUUAAUAACCCCUGAUUUCCUGGAUCUCCAAAUAAUAAACCUCAUGUUUCUGCCAGUUUGUAGGUAUAGUCAAUUGAUACUAAGUUGGAAAGGGGAUCUGAAGCCUAAUAACUUUUCAUAUAACUUUAAUAAAUCUUCCUGUUUUCUGCUUCAUUUACAAAC
rnacentral:lncRNA from 1 species